rnacentral:rRNA from 1 species
ACAGCUCAGUAACACGUCGUUAAUCUGCCCUUGGAUUGGAGAUAAUCUUGGGAAACUGAGGAUAAUAUCCAAUAGGAGAUUGAUUCUGGAACGAACAAUCUCAAAAAGUUCACGCGUCCAAGGAUGAGACGGCGGCGGAUUAGGUUGUUGGCGGGGUAACGGCCCACCAAGCCGAAGAUCCGUAGGGGCCUUGACAGAGGGAGCCCCGAGAAGGACCCUGAGAUACUGGUCCUAGCCCUACGGGGUGCAGCAGGCGCGUAACCUUUACAAUGCACGAAAGUGUGAUAAGGGAAUCCCUAGUGCUUAUGGAAACAUAAGCUUUUGGCAAGGGUAGGAACCUUGUCGAAUAAGCAGUGGGUAAGACCGGUGCCAGCCGCCGCGGUAACCCCGGCGCUGCAAGUGGCGAUCAGCAUUACUGGGCCUAAAGCGUUCGUAGCCGGUUUUGUAAAUUCUUUGUGAAAUCGUCAGGCUUAACCUGACGGCGUGCAGAGGAGACUGCAUUACUUGAGAUCGGGAGGCGUUAGAGGUAUUUUGGAGGGAGCGGUAAAAUGCUAUAAUCUCUAAAAGACCACCUGUGGCGAAGGCGUCUAACGAGAACGAUUCUGACGGUGAGGAACGAAGGCCAGGGGAGCAAAAGGGAUUAGAUACCCCUGUAGUCCUGGCAGUAAACUCUGUGGGUUAGGUGUGGGCUGUCCUUCGAGGACAUUCCGCAUCGUAGCGAAGGCGUUAAACCCACCGCCUGGGGAGUACGGUCGCAAGGCUGAAACUUAAAGGAAUUGGCGGGGGAGCAC